ACACGACUACAUUAGAUACCCCCGUAGUCCUAGCCGUAAACGAUACUCGCUAGGUGUCGGCCACGGUGCGACCGUUGUCGGUGCCGUAGGGAAGCCGUGAAGCGAGCCACCUGGGAAGUACGGGCCGCAAGGGCUGAAACUUAAAGGAAUUGGCGGGGGAGCACCACAACGGGUGGAGCUUGCGGUUUAAUUGGAUUCAACGCCGGGAAAUCUUACCGGGACCGACAGCAACAUGAAGGGCCAGGCUGAAGACUUUGCCGGAUUAGCUG
rnacentral:rRNA from 1 species